rnacentral:rRNA from 1 species
UGGAUAAGACAUGCCAGUCGAACGAGGCUAGCUUGGUAGCAAUACCGGGUUGGCUUAGUGGCGAACGGGUGCGUAACACGUGACCAACCUUCCCAAAAGUGGGGAAUAGCUCGCCGAAAGGCGAAUUAAUACCGCAUGUACCUCAAAGCAAUUUGAGGCAAAGCAGCAAUGCGCUUUUGGAUGGGGUCGCGGCCUAUCAGCUAGUUGGUGGGGUUAAGGCUCACCAAGGCAGCGACGGGUAGCUGGUCUGAGAGGACGACCAGCCACACUGGAACUGAGACACGGUCCAGACACCUACGGGUGGCAGCAGUCGAGAAUUUUUCUCAAUGGGGGAAACCCUGAAGGAGCGACGCCGCGUGGAGGAUGAAGGCUUUCGGGUUGUAAACUCCUGUCAUUUGGGAACAAAGUCCGCCUCUGGCGGAUGUGAUAGUACCAGAAGAGGAAGAGACGGCUAACUCUGUGCCAGCAGCCGCGGUAAUACAGAGGUCUCAAGCGUUGUUCGGAUUCAUUGGGC